rnacentral:misc_RNA from 1 species
CUGGAACGCGCCCCGGCGCACCCAGAAACCCUUUGUGAACCUAUACCUUACUGUUGCCUCGGCGCAGGCCGGCCUCCCAGCUGAGGCCCCCCGGAGACGGGGAGCAGCCCGCCGGCGGCCAAGUUAACUCUUGUUUCUACAGUGGAUCUCUGAAGUAAAAACAUAAAUGAAUCA